CCCGGGGUGGAGCAGUGGCAGCUCGCCAGGCUCAUAACCUGGAGGUCGCAAGUUCGAAUCUUGCCCCCGGAA
rnacentral:tRNA from 1 species